GAGGCUAAACCCGGAUCUUCCGAGAAAGUUGGAACGAUACAGAGAAGAUUAGCAGAUUAGCAUGGCCCCUGCGCACGGAUGACACGCACAAAUCGAGAAGUGUACCAAGUCGAU
rnacentral:snRNA from 1 species